rnacentral:rRNA from 1 species
AUUGAACGCUGGCGGCAUGCUUUACACAUGCAAGUCGAACGGCAGCGCGGGCUUCGGCCUGGCGGCGAGUGGCGAACGGGUGAGUAAUGCAUCGGAACGUGCCCAGUAGUGGGGGAUAGCCCGGCGAAAGCCGGAUUAAUACCGCAUACGGCCUGAGGGUGAAAGCGGGGGACCGAAAGGCCUCGCGCUAUUGGAGCAGCCGAUGUCGGAUUAGCUAGUUGGUGGGGUAAAGGCUUACCAAGGCGACGAUCCGUAGCUGGUCUGAGAGGACGACCAGCCACACUGGGACUGAGACACGGCCCAGACUCCUACGGGAGGCAGCAGUGGGGAAUUUUGGACAAUGGGGGCAACCCUGAUCCAGCCAUGCCGCGUGCGGGAAGAAGGCCUUCGGGUUGUAAACCGCUUUUGUUCGGGAAGAAAUCCUCUGGGCUAAUACCCCGGGGGGAUGACGGUACCGGAAGAAUAAGCACCGGCUAACUACGUG